GGACUGGUGAGUAACACGUGGGUGAUCUGCCCUUGGGUUGGGGAUAGCCACUAGAAAUAGUGGAUAAUACCGAAUACGUUCGCGGGACUAUGGUUCUGCGAGGAAAGGUCUGAUUGGACCGCUGAAGGAUGAGCCCGCGCCUGAUUAGCUUGUUGGCGGGGUAAUGGCCCACCAAGGCGAUGAUCAGUAGGCGGCCUGAGAGGGUGUACGCCCACAUUGGGACUGAGAUACGGCCCAAACUCCUACGGGAGGCAGCAGCUAAGAAUAUUCCGCAAUGGACGAAAGUCUGACGGAGCGACGCCGCGUGGAUGAAGAAGGCCGAAAGGUUGUAAAAUCCUUUUGCUGGUGAAGAAUAAGCGUGACAGGAAAUGGUCGCGUGAUGACAUGAUCCGGUGAAUAAGCCCCGGCUAACUACGUGCCAGCAGCCGCGGUAACACGUAGGGGGCAAGCGUUGUUCGGAAUUAUUGGGCGUAAAGGGCAUGUAGGCGGUUCUGUAAGUCUGGCGUGAAAUGGUUCGGCUUAACCGGAUCCUGCGUCGGAAACUGCGGGACUAGAAUCACUGAGGGGAAAUCAGAAUUCCAGGUGUAGGGGGUGAAAUCUGUAGAUAUCUGGAAGAAUACCGGUGGCGAAGGCGGAUUUCUGGCAGAUGAUUGACGCUGAGGUGCGAAAGUGCGGGGAGCAAACAGGAUUAGAUACCCUGGUAGUCCGCACGGUAAACGAUGUGCACUAGGUGUUGGGGCGGAUGUCUCAGUGCCGUAGUUAACGUGAUAAGUGCACCGCCUGGGGAGUAUGCCCGCAAGGGUGAAACUCAAAGGAAUUGACGGGGGCCCGCACAAGCGGUGGAGCAUGUGGUUUAAUUCGAUGGUACGCGAGGAACCUUACCUGGGCUUGACAUAUGGUGGAAUGUGGCAGAGAUGUCACAGCGUAGCAAUACGUCGCUAUACAGGUGCUGCAUGGCUGUCGUCAGCUCGUGUCGUGAGAUGUUGGGUUAAGUCCCGCAACGAGCGCAACCCUUAUCCUUAGUUGCCAUCAUUAAGUUGGGCACUCUAAAGAGACUGCCGGUGUCAAACCGGAGGAAGGUGGGGAUGACGUCAAGUCCUCAUGGCCCUUAUGUCCAGGGCUACACACGUGCUACAAUGGCCGGUACAAAGGGCAGCAAAGCCGCGAGGUGGAGCCAAUCCCAAAAAGCCGGUCUCAGUUCGGAUUGGAGUCUGCAACUCGACUCCAUGAAGUUGGAAUCGCUAGUAAUCGCGGAUCAGCAUGCCGCGGUGAAUACGUUCCCGGGCCUUGUACACACCGCCCGUCACACCACGGGAGUCGAUUGGUCCCGAAGUGCGUGAGCUAACCCGCAAGGGAGGCAGCGUCCUAAGGAAUGGCCGGUGACUGGGGUG
rnacentral:rRNA from 1 species